GGCCGGUUAGCUCAGUUGAUUAGAGCGUGGUGCUAAUAACACCAAGGUCACGUGUUCAGCCCCCCGUACUGGCCA